rnacentral:lncRNA from 1 species
AACCGCCAAAGUUUCUCCAGGAGGUAGGUUUUUCACUCUCCUUCUUUUAUUUGCAGUUACCACCAUGUAGUCUUAGGCUUGGGGAAUCAAAGCCCUAACACUGUAGAUUUUGAUUCUCCCUCAAAAGCAUUUAAUUUUGGUUUUUAUUUUUAGGUUGGGUGAGAGGGUCUGUUUGGUUUGGAUUGUGGUUGUUUUGGACCUCCGCCGCUAUCAGAGGCAAUUUCCGACGCGACGGAGUAAGG